rnacentral:rRNA from 1 species
CUCCCUGAUGUUAGCGGCGGACGGGUGAGUAACACGUGGGUAACCUGCCUGUAAGACUGGGAUAACUCCGGGAAACCGGGGCUAAUACCGGAUGGUUGUUUGAACUGCAUGGUUCAAACAUAAAAGGUGGCUUCGGCUACCACUUACAGAUGGACCCGCGGCGCAUUAGCUAGUUGGUGAGGUAACGGCUCACCAAGGCAACGAUGCGUAGCCGACCUGAGAGGGUGAUCGGCCACACUGGGACUGAGACACGGCCCAGACUCCUACGGGAGGCAGCAGUAGGGAAUCUUCCGCAAUGGACGAAAGUCUGACGGAGCAACGCCGCGUGAGUGAUGAAGGUUUUCGGAUCGUAAAGCUCUGUUGUUAGGGAAGAACAAGUACCGUUCGAAUAGGGCGGUACCUUGACGGUACCUAACCAGAAAGCCACGGCUAACUACGUGCCAGCAGCCGCGGUAAUACGUAGGUGGCAAGCGUUGUCCGGAAUUAUUGGGCGUAAAGGGCUCGCAGGCGGUUUCUUAAGUCUGAUGUGAAAGCCCCCGGCUCAACCGGGGAGGGUCAUUGGAAACUGGGGAACUUGAGUGCAGAAGAGGAGAGUGGAAUUCCACGUGUAGCGGUGAAAUGCGUAGAGAUGUGGAGGAACACCAGUGGCGAAGGCGACUCUCUGGUCUGUAACUGACGCUGAGGAGCGAAAGCGUGGGGAGCGAACAGGAUUAGAUACCCUGGUAGUCCACGCCGUAAACGAUGAGUGCUAAGUGUUAGGGGGUUUCCGCCCCUUAGUGCUGCAGCUAACGCAUUAAGCAC